GAUGAACGCUGGCGGCGUGCCUAAUACAUGCAAGUUGAGCGAUGAAGAUUGGUGCUUGCACCAAUUUGAAGAGCAGCGAACGGGUGAGUAACGCGUGGGGAAUCUGCCUUUGAGCGGGGGACAACAUUUGGAAACGAAUGCUAAUACCGCAUAACAACUUUAAACAUAAGUUUUAAGUUUGAAAGAUGCAAUUGCAUCACUCAAAGAUGAUCCCGCGUUGUAUUAGCUAGUUGGUGAGGUAAAGGCUCACCAAGGCGAUGAUACAUAGCCGACCUGAGAGGGUGAUCGGCCACAUUGGGACUGAGACACGGCCCAAACUCCUACGGGAGGCAGCAGUAGGGAAUCUUCGGCAAUGGACGAAAGUCUGACCAAGCAACGCCGCGUGAGUGAAGAAGGUUUUCGGAUCGUAAAACUCUGUUGGUAGAGAAGAACGUUGGUGAGAGUGGAAAGCUCAUCAAGUGACGGUAACUACCCAGAAAGGGACGGCUAACUACGUG
rnacentral:rRNA from 1 species